rnacentral:rRNA from 1 species
AGCUCAAAUUUGAAAUCUGGCCCCCUCGGGGUCCGAGUUGUAAUUUGCAGAGGGUGCUUUGGCGUUGGCAGCGGUCUAAGUUCCUUGGAACAGGACAUCGCAGAGGGUGAGAAUCCCGUAUGUGGUCGCAUGCCUCCGCCGUGUAAAGCCCCUUCGACGAGUCGAGUUGUUUGGGAAUGCAGCUCUAAAUGGGAGGUAAAUUUCUUCUAAAGCUAAAUACCGGCCAGAGACCGAUAGCGCACAAGUAGAGUGAUCGAAAGAUGAAAAGCACUUUGGAAAGAGAGUCAAACAGCACGUGAAAUUGUUAAAAGGGAAGCGCUUGCAGCCAGACUUGCCUGUAGUUGCUCACCCGGGCUCCUGCCCGGGGCACUCUUCUGCAGGCAGGCCAGCAUCAGUUUGGGCGGUCGGACAAAGGCCUCUGACACGUACUUCCUUUCGGGGAUGACAUAUAGGGGAGGCGCAAUGCGACCAGCCCGGACUGAGGUCCGCGCAUCUGCUAGGAUGCUGGCGUAAUGGCUGUAAGCGGCCCGUCUUGAAACACGGACCAAGGAGUCUAACAUCUAUGCGAGUGUUUGGGUGUCAAGCCCGAGCGCGUAAUGAAAGUGAACGGAGGUGGGAACCCCUCGGGGCGCACCAUCGACCGAUCCUGAUGUCUUCGGAUGGAUUUGAGUAAGAGCAUAGCUGUUGGGACCCGAAAGAUGGUGAACUAUGCUUGAAUAGGGUGAAGCCAGAGGAAACUCUGGUGGAGGCUCGCAGCGGUUCUGACGUGC